GUGCUGGAUGAGUGUUAUAUCGCUGUGACUCAUGAUUGUGUAUCGAAGGAGAGCGAUGUCAGAUACAUAAACAGUAC
rnacentral:sRNA from 14 species